rnacentral:snRNA from 1 species
AUGCUCGCUUCGGCAGCACAUAUACUAAAAUUGGAACAAUGCAGAGAAGAUUAGUAUGGCCCCUGCUUAAGGAUGACACACAAAUUCGUGAAGCAUUCCAUAUUUUU